rnacentral:rRNA from 1 species
AUUGAACGCUGGCGGCAGGCCUAACACAUGCAAGUCGAGCGAGCGGCGGACGGGUGAGUAAUGUCUGGGAAACUGCCUGAUGGAGGGGGAUAACUACUGGAAACGGUAGCUAAUACCGCAUACCAUCAGAUGUGCCCAGAUGGGAUUAGCUAGUAGGUGGGGUAACGGCUCACCUAGGCGACGAUCCCUAGCUGGUCUGCGAGGAUGACCAGCCAAACUGGAACAGAGACACGGUCCAGACUCCUACGGGAGGCAGCAGAGGGGAAUAUUGCGCAAUGGGCUCAAGCCGGAUGCAGCCAUGCCGCGUGUAUGAAGAAGGCCUUCGGGUUGUAAAGUACUUUCAGCGGGGAGGCGUUAACCGCAGAAGAAGCACCGGCUAACUCCGUGCCAGCAGCCGCGGUAAUUC